GAUGAACGCUGGCGGCGUGCUUAACACAUGCAAGUCGAACGGGAUCCAAGGGGUGCUUGCACUUUUUGGUGAGAGUGGCGAACGGGUGAGUAACACGUGAGUAACCUGUCCUUUUCUUUGGGAUAAGCAUUCGAAAGGGUGUUUAAUACCUUAUGUUCUGUCUGCCUCGCAUGGGGUGGGUGGGAAAGGCUUUGGCCGGAUUUGGGUGGGCUCGCGGUCUAUCAGCUUGUUGGUGGGGUGAUGGCUUACCAGGGCUUUGACGGGUAGCCGGCCUGAGAGGGUGGUCGGUCACAUUGGGACUGAGAUACGGCCCAGACUCCUGCGGGAGGCAGCAGUGGGGGAUAUUGCACAAUGGGCGAAAGCCUGAUGCAGCGACGCCGCGUGGGGGAUGAAGGCCUUCGGGUUGUAAACUUCUUUUGCUCUGAACAAGGCAUGCCAGUGGGUGUGUUGAGUGUAGGGGUUGAUUAGCGCCGGCUAACUACGUG
rnacentral:rRNA from 1 species